UGAGUCACUGGGAUUACAGGUGUGAGCUCUUCACCUUUUCCCUUCCUUUCACCCCUUAGGUUGGGCAUUGUCCUUUGACCGAUUGACUGAUUGAUCUGUUUGAUCCAUCUAUUCCAUCUAUGAAUAGGUCCAUCCAUCCAACAUUUGUUAAGCACCCACUUGGCCCAUUUGUCCCUGUGAAUCGGAUCCUCCCUUUUCCCCAACGAUCCCAAUGGUGCCUCGCCCCUACCCCUGGGUGGCCUCAAGCAGAACACAUACAGAAUUGGGCUGAGCUACUCUGGGCACCAACCAGAAGCCAGCGGGGAUUUGAAACUCACCAGCACCCUCUUCCUGUCCCCUGAGAGUGGCGCCUCUAUCUCCCUGUGACACCAGCUUUCCCUUCUACUCUCAGUGUCUUGAUGGCGUGGGGUGGGUCAGAGCUCAAGCUGAAGAGUUCAUACCUCUGCUCUGGGUGCUGUCUGUCCCAGGCUGUCCCACACAGGAUGUCCCGGCCACUCACGAUCUUGAGAAACCUCCUGGCACCAAGCGGUCAGGACGCACUGACCCACAGGUUGCAGAUUGGCUGCGCCUCCGGCCUCCCUCCUUCCUCCCAUGGUGAGCCUCUAUAUGGCGGGGACCUAGGACACGGAGCUGAAGACCAGGAGCCACGAAGGGACUUGCCCAAGGUCAGGAGGUGGGGAGGUGAGUGGGGUCCCCCUUCAGACACUCGGUGGAGACCUGAGGGUGAGGCGGGAGCUCUGCCCCUACCCUCCCUAAGAGCACGUGGAGGUUGCUGGGGGCUCCAGGCUGGGUGUCCCUGCCGGCCCAGGCUUGGACCUGGGGUGCGGGUCAACGUCUUCCCGGAGGCUGAGUCCCCAUGAAGUGGCCUAUUCGAGGUUGGGGGGGCCGUGGCUCCCUCGUUGGACAGUGAAGGCUGAGCCUCCUAUGAUGCCAUCGCCAUGUGCCUGUGACUUGUCACCCUGGCUUCACCUGCCACAAAGGUGGUGACACAAAGCGGCCCAUUUUGUGGAUGACGGAAGGAGACAGGAGCCGGGGGUAGGUGGCAGGGUGGCCUGGCCAUCAGCGUGCUUUGGGAGCCCUUGAGAUGAGCCUCGGGCGGGAAGGAGUGGGUUUUGAAUUUUGUUGAACUUUAACUAAUUUACAUUUCAUUUAAACCCCCAGAGCCGCGUCUUCUCUUGUGAGCACGUGAUUGUUUCCGCGGGACUGUGUUUCCCUUUAACGGCUGAGAAUUUAAGGUCCCAACUGAAACGGUGCUUUUAACGAAACUUCAAAGAUGAGGCUCUUGGAAGAUUUCAGACGCGGUAACUGUGAUGUCAUCUGGUUGGACAGCACCCAGCCAGGAUCCGAGCCCAGGAGGUCUGAGCCUGGAUCCCACCUCUGACCUACACUCCACGGCACCCCCCCGGAACACUGAGGGUGUCGUGUGCCCCAUGGGAAGGGGGGAGAUGGAGCCCCUGGGAGUUCUCGGGGUGCCAGGCUUUCUCCCGUGGCCUGGUACCCCCAAGGCCCCCUGCAGCCCGCCCAGGGGCUUGAGAGUUUCAACCUGGCAGAAGGACACACUUCCCGCAGCACUCGAUGGUGGAGGGUCUGCUGCCUCAGGCCCCGGUUCUAGGCCCCUGAACCACACAGGCCGCAGCCGGGGCCUGUGGAAGCAGAGGAGGUGGACAGGGAGUCAGACGUUUUUAGUUUUAGGGCUUAAAUCCACCCUAUUAGCCCCUGUGGUUCUGGGCUCAGAAUCCCACAGUGGGCAGCAGGCGUGGUCCGGUUCUCCAGGCCUCCUGCAGGGCUGGGUGUGGCCCACCCGAGAGCCCUUCCUGGCCCGGGGAGGCCCUGGUCCAGUCCCCAGCACUGUGAUGCCCUGGUGGUGGGAACUGAGGUCUGGGCCGUCUCAGAACCUUGACCUUGGGCGUCCUUGGUGGCCCCGGGAAUGGUCCUGGCAGUAAUCCUGGCCUGGGGACCCUUCUGCACCGCGGCCAGCAGCAGGAGCUCAGCAAAUGCAGUUCUCUGGGUGUAGUGUGAGUUGGUGCCAGUCGGGCUGGGGGCCAGGAAUCCAGCUGUGGGGGGAUCACCCCUCACUCCUGCCCUGGGGGAGCACCCAGGCCCGCGGGGAGGAAGGAGAGAACCAACAGCGGCGAUCUGAAGACAAAACCCGAAAAAGAGCAGCCGAGGGUGCAGGGCCAGUGGGGACCAUGGGGGGGGGACAGCUCCGCCCAUUCGCUGGGACUGUCACUUUUAAAAUUUGGUGUGACACUAGAGUGAGGACAGAUAAUGAUCAUGUACUGGGAUAAUCCUGGCUCGGCUGGGAUGAGUUGGUCUGUAGGAGGGGCAGCUUUUAGUUGGUGGCCAGGGACAGCCUCUCUGGGUAUGUGCCAGAUGACCAGGGACUGAAUGACCCAAGGGAGAGAACUACAGGCACGCAGGCCGAGUUUUCUUCCAGGCAGGGGUACAUGCAAAGGCCCUGAGGCAGGAGUGUCCUUGGGGCAAUUUGAGGGACCCAGAGAAGGGGAGGGUGUCUGGAACCCACCAGGGAGGGAAGUAGUAUCAGGGGCUUUCCAAGGUGGGGGUAGGGCCUAGCUUCUGACUUUUGAUGGAAAAGGAAGGAAUUUGGAUUUUAUUUUAAUCCCAGUGGAAAGCCUGUGGAGGGAUUUCCAAAACAGGGAAACGAAGUGAUGUAAUUUCUGCUUUUGGAAAGACCGCUCUGGCCUGGUGUGUGGCUCAGUGACAGAGCGCCUGCCUAGCGUGGGCAAGGCCCUGGGCUCCAUCCCCAGCACCAAAAUAUCAAAUAAAUCAAUAAAGUCACGCUGGCUGGGCUGGUGGCUGCAGGGGAGGGGGCAGGUGGACCCGUCAGAGGCUGGGUGGUCUCUAAUUUUAAGGGUGCAUUAGAAUCUCCUGCAGGGAUAGCUAAACCUGGCCCCAGUCCCACCCCUGGAGUCUGCAGCUCUAACAACCUUCCAGGUGCUGCAGGGGCUGCUGGCCCCUCCCACUUUGAGCAGCUGGGAGAGAGAGGGCGGGGCCUGCACUAGGAGGCUGCAGAGGUUCACGCUGCUCGGGUUGGGGGGUGUGGCUCAGCCACAGAGCACAAACCUAACAGGCCCCGCCCCCAGUUCCACCCAGCACCAAAAAAAUCAGGUGUUAUCUCAAGAUAAUUCUAUCCUGCUUCUGGUUUAAUUUCACUACACCCAGGAGAAUAUCAGUAGGAGACCGGGGCGCCUCCUACCCCUCUCCCUGCACCCCCUUUAUCUUAGCAAAGACAGAGAAGCCCUCAAGGCGAGCGGGGUUCAGCAGAGGGCUAUAGCUAGAAUUGAAUUUUGAGGAUGUCUUCUUUGUCCUCGUUUUUUUUAUGGUUGCCUACAGCUUAUGUCGUGAAUAUUGGCUUUCCAUUUACAGAAGUGUCACCCAGCUUCCGUUGUCAAUAAAUGCAUUUAAUUUUUUUUUAGAAGUGAGUUGCUUUCAA